UCAUAUACAUAUACAUAUACAACUACAUACAUAUACUUAUAUGUUUUGUGUUUUGUGUGUGUUUUAAGUUGGUUCUUUCAAUUGAAUUUAUUUAAUAAUUAUCUCCUACUCAUGCUUUGUGUCAUUCUCUUCACUAUAAAAUUGGCUUUGGAAGUGGAAAAAUCAAGUGAAGGUGAUAGUAAGCACAAAAUUUUUUCAGGGGUUAAUUUAGUUAUUGGUGGGCAAAUUACAACCAAGAGCUGCUAUUUCCUCUUGUUCUGUCCAUCAGUAUAUUAUGAUUUGUGUUUUCUUCAUGUCUAAGAUGUGUUUUCAACUAAGAUUUUCAGUUACAAAUAUCAGAAAGUUAUGGAGGAAAUUACUUUCUAUGAUUUCCUCUUGAUCAAGCUAUUGAAUCAUUGUUUUCUAUCCUUGUACAACAUAAAUUUUUUUAUUACCCAGUGGUUUUUGUCACUUUUUUCUUUCUAUUAGAUGUUCUGAAAAGCAGAGAAUUCAGUUGUGCAUCAGUUCAAAUAUUUCAAAAGAUAAUUGCAGUUUUUCUUAUUAAUUGCAUGGAAGGAUUUGCAAAGGCUAGACACACACCAAGCAUAUUUUAAAUGAUAAUUAUAAAUCCAGAACAAAGCUGUUGAUGAAGAAGGGUGAUUAGUUUUACUUUUUUAUUUUAAUUUUCUCUUUUUGUGUUGUUGUCAAGGCCAUCCAUACAGUUAUAUAAUGAUGAACCAAAAACACCAAUCAUUAUUUAGUUAUAAAAUCUACACCUUAAACAGUUUUUGUUCUCUCCUUGCUAUCAACCUUUUCUUACUUACCUUCUCAACGUCUAAAUUUUGGAGCAUUUAGAACAGGAUUUUCUGUGUUUUUGCUUUAAUAACUCAUAUAAUUUCAUUAAGCAGUUUGCAUAGUUGGUUCAUGUUUCAGUUACAAAAUCUCCUCUAUCAUGGACUAAUGAAACAGUAAAUCAGUAGUAAAUGCACCAAGUUUAUGACCAAAGAUUCAGAAGGUUGUUAAAACUGAC
rnacentral:lncRNA from 1 species